UAUGAAGGUUUAAAUCAAACCAACUGCAGUUGAAUUGAUAGUAAUUGGAAUGCACAAACAAAAAACGAGAUUUUUGAAAAAUAAAAAAACGGAGUUAUCUCGUUUUGCAACAAAACUCUUCAUAUAUAUAAAAUAAUUACAGUGCACACACAUAAAUAAUGCAAAAAAACGUUUAUUUUGUAUGUGAUUAAUUGCGAUGAUUAAUUGUAAUGCAACCUAUGCUGGGUUGUUUUAACCCUUCAUUGGGUCAAAAAUACUAUAGUCAACAUUUGAAGUGGAUCAAAAUAGUUAAUCAAAGUUGUCCUAAGACAAGAACGGGUAAUGGGUAUUGGUUUUAUGAAAACAUUUAUGAAAGGUUUAAAUGUUGACUACUGUACAUUAGGGAGGCUCCGAUCGAUCUGCUCCGACUCGAUCUGUACGCGCUAAAUUUGCCAAUCUCAUGAACUGAUCUUUGUAUUGAUGUAUAUUUAAUUCAUACAGUAAAGAUUGUGAAGUGUUUUAUUUUCAUUACUUCUUGUGCUUAUUUAUUUGAUUCUCUAUUAAAUUGCAUAUCAGCUUAAAGAAUCGGUAUCGGCAUUGGAAUCGGCCAAUCACGAAGACAACAAAUCGGUAAUCAGUAUCGGCUGCAAAAUACCUGAUCGGAACAUCCUGUACAUACAUUUUCUAAGUUAAGGUAACCAAAUGACAGGGUUUGUCCCUUUUUGACCCAACUCUAGGUUAAAAAUAUCCCAGCUUUUUUUAAAUCAAUAGCAAACAAGCUAAAUCAAAGCUCUGAAGAUUUGAUAAAAGUUGCAUUUAUUUUGAAUAUAAUUUGGUAUCAAGGCAAGUUUUUGACCUCAGUAGUGAUCUCCUCUGAAACUCUAAAAGAGACGCAUGUGAAAGUACAGUACUGCAGGUGAUAAUUUUGCUCCAUACAGUAGCUCUAAAUUCACUGUUGGGAAAUAAGUGCGACAUUAAAGGCAUCUAAUUUGUGAUUGCAUGUUAAGGUAUGGCAGUAUUCUGUUCUAGAUAAAACGCAGUAACUCAUGUCAGUAUAAUUAAUUUCAAUUUGACAGCGUCGUGCUGGCCUUUGGGACCCAGGGCGACGAGUGCCCAGAUCUCUCCCCACUGGAGCCUCACGUACCUCACCAUGACCUUUAGAUACAUACCACUGCACAUAGCAGACAGUACAAAGGGCACAUGAGUGAACGCUCACACACUGAGCGCCUGCUGACACAGCCACCUUCCCAGCGUCACGUGGGAUGAGCUAUUCUAUAAGCUCCGUCACUCAGGGAGACCAGCUGACCGGGAUAUUCUGGGAUGGCCUGUAGAAUCAGACAGCCCAGAUCUGAACCCUAAAUGCUCUUUAACCUCUUCAGAGAGUCUUCAAGUUCAACAGCAAGAUCAUUCCACAAGCCAAAGACUUAACACUAAAGAUACUGGAAGUAAUACUGUCCAAGUGUGGCAUUACUUAGCAGACAAACAGGUCACCUUAUACUGCCACAAACCUAUUAGUCAUCUACAAGUGUUACAAUUUAGACACGAAAUGCCUUGCAUUUUGUCCUUAAUAAUCGCCGAAACAGAUCAAAUGGAGUUAUGUGAAUAAAGAACUGGCAGUGCUUUCUUAACCAUUACUCAGAGCGUUUUUAAGUUUUUCUAAAUCAGAACCAAAGCUAUCCUUGCUCGGUGGAACUAAUUUGUAGUAAGCAAGGCCCUUUGACCUUCUCAAAAGUAAAAUUUAGAAAUUGUUCCCUCCCGGGCCCCUAGAAUCGUUUCCACCUUUCACCCAACAAGCUACCCCAUGUUUGUUAGUCAUAUCCUAAUGUCCCAAAUGCAAAUCCUCUUCAUAUAAAUCACCAACAUUUCAUUACCGCAGUAUAAACUCCACUUCAAAGACACCCAUCCAGGCCUUUUUUGACAUUUGGAUGAGCAGAGCAUUCAUAUACGCAGCUGUUAGCUCAAUGUACCACAAGAGUAACAGUAGAGAGGAGUUGUCUCGGGGGAGCACGCAGCGUGUGGUGUGCCGGGGUCCCGCUGGUCUCUGGGGGGAGCCGUGUGGAACCGAGUCAGAGCCAGACACGUGUUCGGAGACCAGAGACUGAAGCAGCCGGCCGCAGGGCUAAGCCAAAGCUGGGAUGCAUUAUCACUCUCCUCCAUGCGGAGAGCCAAAGCAAAAGGUCCACUAAACAGCCCACUCUUCAGAAUCUAGGCAGCGGGGUAGUUGUCUUCAGUGUUUAUGUAGCAGUGUUACAGAGAUGAAUGGGGCAAGUACACACAGAUCUCUGACGUUAAUACCGUGAGCUGUAGGGUGUGGAUGCAGACGAAGAGCACGUGACAGCUCAGAGUUCACAUGAGGAGACAAACUGGAUCACAGCCACUGGAUGUCUAAUAAAGUUGGCCAAGGCACUGCAAGCGACUGGUUUGUGAAGGUACUACGGUACAGAUAUCCAUGGUGACAGACAUUUAGCAACAGCAUGCGAUUCAUGUAUUCAUAGAGGAUUUUAACACAAAAACAAAAAAUACCAACCGUCCCUGGCUCAGAGAGUAAUGUGAGUUAUUUAAAAAGUGUUUAUUUCAUAUUCCUGUGUUGCAUU